rnacentral:lncRNA from 1 species
GACAAGAUUACCAGAAUCCAACAGCACUGCAACUGGAUUUUGGACUGAUCGUGAGGUGUUCGUGGACCAUAUAGUUUCAUUCUUGUCAUUAAGUAGAGCAAGUAUUCCCGGCUUGUUGACCUUCAAAACGACUGAAGAUGUAUUGGUGAGUGGUUUCUCUCUGUUUGCAACCCAUACAAUUGUUUGGACAUAAGGAAGAAUUUGCUUGUACCAUAUCCCAAUAUAUCGCGUUGUGGAACCAUUGGGGCUGAAAAAUCCCAGCUCAAAGGUUCCACCAGAUGAAACAAUAGUGUCACCAUCUGUUAUGAACUGAUUAGUAUUGAUUACAUUUGUCGUAGUAGAACUAAUCUUCGGUAUAAAAGAGUAGAAAGAUAGUAAGAAAAGUAUGAAGUAUUUAGAUUCCAUCUAUGUGUUUGAUGCCUAAGCCUUUUAAUUUGGUCGCCUAUAUAUUGCCCUUUCAUAUUUAGAUUGACUUUAUACUAGUCCUUAUUUCAUAUAAUGAUUUGAAGUUUCUUAGUGCCUCUUCUUGACGGAAAGAAGAGAGAAAUUUCAUAAUCAUGAUGUGACAUAAGUAAUAAGACAUCUUUACCUAAAUUUGGAAGUACUCCUUAGUCCUCACAAGUCACAAGGCUGCUAGUGCUAGGGCCAAGCCACCAAGGCCUGACUUUUGGUCACAAAGUUUUGUUGCAUUAUGCAACUAGUUAUUGACUGGCCCAUAUGUCCACAGUAGAAUGUGUGACGCUGCUUCGUUUAAUUUCGCAGUCCUUGCGCAAGCAAUUUUUUUUUUAAAAAAAAAACAAGAGACAACUCGCAAGACCACCUAUUAUAAUUGCUUGAACUAAUCAAUGGUGUCUGCAUGGUUUAAUCUCCUUUGCCCUCCGUUUCAAUUCAUAUGAUGUAGUUUGACUUGACAGAGAGUUUAAGAAAGAUAAAGACUUUUGAAACUUGUGACUAUAAAUGAGUCUACAUGUUUGUGGGGCUAUAAAUUAUGUAAAAUGAAUAUUUUAAAAUUAAAUUGUUAUUAUAUAUAGAAAAUAUGUCAUUGUUUGGACGAACUAAAAAGAAAAAUAAGUCUUAUAAUUGGGACAAAAAGCCCUUGCAUUGAUAUAUAUGAACCUGUUUUGACUAAAUUUUCAAGUGAAACGUGUUUUUUUAAACUCACAAAGUUUUUACUUUUUUUCAAGUUAACUUUAUGUUCAAACACAAAUUCAACUUUCAAAUUUUUUUUCUAACUUCCUUUUCAAAUAUAAUUUUUAUGUCCAGACGCCUUCAUAUAGUGUCCUAAAAUUUUGCCAUAUACAACGUCUUGCUAAAUUUCAUACAAUAAAGAUUUUAAGUAAUAUGGUGUGGAGAAAACUUUUUAUAUACUGUCAUAUUAUUUUACCUGUAGUACAUAAUACAUUUUAUUUUCAAAUUUCACAUUUUAGGAAAUAUUAAUGGUAGAUAUCCUGAAUGACCUAAUAGGACGAUAUCAACUUUCACAUUUUAGAAAAAAAUAUUUUUUAUGAUAUGAACGUAUGACCUUCCAUGAAAUUUACUCAGAAACACAUAUAGGCAGGUCAAGUAAACGUUAGUGCCUUAUUGAUGAAAACAAUGUUGGUCCCCGUUAACAAUUGGAAUUUAAGCAUGUUCUAGAUCAUAUAUAGUGAAUAUAUGGACGUAUAUUUGAGAAUAACUAUAUGGUCAAAGAACCAACGUGGUUGUGGUGCAGUGAUGUACUGUUUCAUCCUUAACUAGAGGUCUCGAGUUUGAGCCUGGGAGAAAAUCCUAUUGGAGCGCUACCUACCCCUGAAUGAGCCCUGCAUUACUCUAUUUAGAUUUAAUUGGAGCUUCAAUGCGGGCUCCGGACGCCGGUGGAAAAAGAAAGAAGCUAUAUGUAUGGUCAAAGCAAACAAAUUUGACGAGGCUAAAAGAUAAUCAUAUGUAUUUGACCAUAUGGGAUAAUCAGUACGUUGAAGAAUUGAAUAUUUACUAAGCUCGCAGAAAUAUAUUGAAAUGGGUUGUUCAAACAAAAGAUGGAGACACAGACUAAGAUAAGAAAUUGGUUGAGAUCUGUCAUAUCCAAUGACCUGAAAAUGAAGGCAGCUAAAUUAAUUAUUUUAUUUUAAUGAGUACAGUAAUAAAUUUGUUGAAAAAAGAAUCUUGAUGUGUUUACACGUCAAUUUGGUUUUUGAUACAACUACUUCACAAAAUAAUAUUAGGGCAAAUUACAAAAAUCACAUACUUUUAAGGCAAAAUUACAAUCUAUCCCUUAAAAGUUUAUAAUUACAGAAAUCCCUCAAACGGAUACAAUAAUAUAACCGCUGAUACAUUAAUCUGAUGCGUGAGAUACAUUAAUCGUUAAGUAAGAUACAUUACAUAUUAUACAUGAUACACUAAUCUGAUGUACAUUUUAUACAUGAUACACUAAUCUGAUGCGCGAGAUGCAAUAAUAUAAGUACUGAUACAUUAAUCUGAUGCGCGAAAAUGAGGGAUUUUGGAAAUUUGUAAAACUUAUAGGGGAUAAUGGUAAUAAGUAAACUAUAAGGUGGGAUUUCUGUAAUUUUUUCAUAAUAUAAUUAGUCAUAACAUUGUUUACAUUAUUUAAGCUAAGAUCAAUUUACACAAGAAAGAGGUGAAGGAAAAAUUGAUCAUAAUAUGGGAUGUGGUUCCAUUAUUAUUAUUAUUAUUAUUAUUAUUGUUAUGUUAUUUUGUUCUUCUUUGAAUGGGCCUAACACUUUAUUUAUGAUAGGAAUUAGGAAACUUAAGUAAAUUCCUUUAAUUUGUGAGUUAAUUAUUUAGAUACACUUAAGUUUGUAAUAUUACGUAUUUUAUCAGAUUUUGGUGCCUCCACAUACGUCUAGAUAUAUGUAUCUCAGAUACAUGGGGUCAAAUUUAUGUGUAAUUUGUUCUAGCUACAUUGUAUCCAAAUAGAUUCGUAUACAUCCGAGAUACAUAAUAAAUAUCGCUUGCCUCUCUCCCAUUGCUUGCUACUCUCCUAUGUUUCUAGUAUCCUAGAUACAUGCUAAUUACACAAGAUACAUACAUAUACAAUAUGUAUCUAGUGUGAUUUGCAUGUAUCUGGGAUACAUAACGAAUCUUGUUCGCCUCCCUCCCAUCUCACUCACCUCUCUCCCUAUUUUAGUGUAUCUGGUAGCAAAAAUACACGCAUCUAAGUGUAUCUUCCUCAAUAUAUGGUAGGAAACUCUUAAUUAGUGGUAAGAUACUAAAUAUUUUGAAAGUAUAAAUGAUAAUAGUAUAUAUGAUUGUGAAAUAUGUCUAAUUAAGAUGUGGAAAUUGGACCCAACAGUUUAAAUUAUAUUUAAUCCCGAUGCAAACUGGAAUAUAUCUAGAAAUUACAUUCAAUAAUUUUGAAAAUUGGUGGUUUUGAACUUUUGACCAUCGCCAUGAGCAAACCUUUAAUAAUUAAGGUCAUUAAAAAGUUAAAGCUUGUUAAAAUUAAAAUUGUAUUCAUAAGACAAGUAAAGUAAAAAAUUCAAAAUCAUUCGCCUUAAAAAUCACUCUGAUAAAUCUCUCAAAAUACACAAGAACAUAUUCCAUAUCCACGAAGCCACCAUAUAGCGCAUAAAAUGAUGAUUAAUUAACUUGUUGGAGAUAUCUGAUGGACCUUGAUAAUAUCAUAGAGAACAAAGAGAAGGAGAGAGUUAUAAGCUCAAUCAUAUCAGUAUGAUAAUUCUAUUUCUGUAAUAGUAUAUCAUUACAAAAGAGUUUAUACAGAUGCAAAAGGAUAGUUUAAGACAUAAAUUAAAGCCCCACUUCCUACAAUAGUAUAUUAUUACAAUGGAUUUGUUAAAGUUGUUAUUUUGAUAAAUUAAUGAUUGGGGUUGAUUAAUUAUACUAUAUGAAAUUUAUGUUUAAAAUUGAAGUUUACUUAAAGUAGAUUUAGGUUGAUCGAUCAUGUGUUUGAGUAUUGAGAAGAAUCAAAAAAAAAAAUUAAUUUGGCCAAAAAAAAUAAUUAAAAGCAUAUAUGACGGUAAUUUUAGUCAUUUUUUACCUGCACUUCACUGAUACAAAAUUUUAGACACAACUAAAAUUUAGUCAAUUUUGAAAUAUGCUUCGGUCAUGUAUCCUUUUUAUUUAGAGUCAUGCUACGAUUGAAAUUCAUAUUUAAACGGGAAAUUAAAAAUUAAAAGAAUGCUAAAUGAAUUUCUUAAAUUUAUUGUUAUUUUAAUAAAUUGAUGAUUGAAGUUUAUUCUUUAUGAUAUCUAAAACUGAUGUUACAUAUUUGAGUUUGUUUGAAGGAAAUUUGGACGUUGAUGUAUGUUGAACACUUGAAGACUGAAGUGGUUAAAAUUUGAAGAACAAAAAUUCCAAACACACAUGUCUACUUCUUAUAUACACUUCACUCAUAUAUAUUACUCC